rnacentral:rRNA from 1 species
UACGUAGGGUGCGAGCGUUGUCCGGAAUUAUUGGGCGUAAAGAGCUCGUAGGCGGCUUGUCGCGUCGGAUGUGAAAGCCCGGGGCUUAACCCCGGGUCUGCAUUCGAUACGGGCAGGCUAGAGUGUGGUAGGGGAGAUCGGAAUUCCUGGUGUAGCGGUGAAAUGCGCAGAUAUCAGGAGGAACACCGGUGGCGAAGGCGGUUCUCUGGGCCUGUUCUGACGCUGAGGAGCGAAAGCGUGGGGAGCGAACAGG